GGUCCAUCUGCCAGUCAUGCUCAGAUAUUUAUGGCAUGUAUUUUCUUCAUGUGUGUCCCCUUUCCAUUGUCCAGCUCAGAGGGACGAGAGAAGAAGGAAGUAAAAGUGUGGGGUAUUGCUUGAUGGUGGUUCACUGUCGGUAUAUUUUAGCAUGGGGCAGGACACAGAGUUUUUGCAAAACAGAAGAAAAAAGAAAAGGAAAGAAAGAGGGAAAAGAGGGAAGAAAAAGUGAAAAGGGUGGAAGCAUAUUUUUGGAUUGUGUUGAAAAAGUUGGAUCAUUUUUGGAACUCUGAAAGGAGAUACCAUUCAACUCUUAUGUGUUCAUAUACACAGGAGCUAAUCAAGGCACAGUUAUCUGCUGACAGGGAUGAAUGUGGCUAGAGAAGAAAAACUGCCAAGCUUACUGGCCUCACUUCAAAUUAAUCUCAAGUGGACACUUAACACUGGCCAGCAACCAUACUGUAUUUCUCCUAUUCAGGCAUCCUCCCACUUUUUAAGAUGCCGUGAGCUAAGAAGCUUUCUUUGGCCAUACCCUUCUGCCAUAAUGUUCUGCCUCAACUCAAGCCCAGAGAAAAGGAGUUGGCUAACAACAGACUAAACCUCGGAAACUCCUACAUUUAUGUGACCUAUCAGAAGCAUUUACAAAGUGUGGAUGCUCCCAAGGGAUAGAUGGUGCUUCCUGUGAGCAGGCUGCACACUCACAUUGAAACACACUUCAGCAGAAGAAGCAAGAGCUAAGAAUGCCUGAAGGCGGACUCUUUUGCUGUUCUAGACAAUCAGCUGCUUCACCUACGGCUGACAGCAUUAAUGACAUGUGAUUUAAAUAUAAAAACAAAAUUACCAAGUUAUGGCAUCCUAUAAUGAAGGCUUAUGACUCUUGAACUUUUGUUGACAGUUUAUUUUUGUAAGCUUUGCCUAAGAGUUUAUUGAAAAUAAUAAUUUUUUAACAGUAAUUUUUUUUAAAAAAAGGCAGAAUCAUGUGACCAAGUACUGUUCCAGAGUUCAAGAGUUUUACCACUUAUCAGACCUGUGACCUGCACAUGUUAUUUCGCUCCCCCUAUGUUCAGUUUCUUCAACUGUAAAAUGGGAGUGAUACUGCGUACUUUAUAGGGGAGUUGAUUAAAUUAGUAAAUUUAAUUAAAUUAGUAAAUUACUUCUUAGAAACUAUAAAAUCAGUGCAAAAACCAUGAUAUACAUAAAUGAAAUUGAGAUUUGUUUUGUUAUAGGAGUGGUAUCAGACAGUGCUGAUUUCAGAGGCCUCAGAAGGUGGAACUCAGCCCCUAUAUUCCCAUGUGAGCUAGAACUCCAGAACGUGACCUGUUAUCUCCAUUGGUCCCUCAUCAUACUGUGACAACAGUGCACAGCCUGCUAUCUCUCCUAACUCUCUGUCCCCAAAGAUAAGCCAUGAAGCCAUUGGAAAGAGGUCAUCCAUCAUGACAUUGCUUGGUAUAGUUAUUCUUUAGAAACUUAACUCGCAGUCUGGGUGGGGUGUGUUGGACCAGGACUGGCAGGAAACACAGCUGGACAGGCGCUGUCUUUCUGGCGCUGUCUUGUCUCUGCAUGUUAUUGUUUCAGGACAUACAUUAUUUUUGUUCUUUCCCAGGAAACUUUAACCUUUCAAAAAGGCAAUGGUGAAGAUGCUCAUUGACAAUGACCUCAAAGACCAUCUCUCAAUGGAAUCACUGGCAAUUGAUUUUUUUUCCUCAUCACCUUGUCCCUUUAUUAUCUCCUGGUGAUAAACCCUAUGUGGCUAUUUUUCAUUGUGUGGAUAACCUAGCAACCAAGCUUUGUGAGCCCGUGUUUAUAUUGUUUCCAACAAGCCUGGUUUUCAGCUGGAUCUGCUCCCACUACAACUCUGAGAUAAUAAGUCAAAAUGAAAAGGACCCCAUUGUGGUUGUAAGAACAUGUAACAGAAAUAGGUUUCAUAAACAAGAGCAAAAUAUAGGUAUUGUAUACGUGCAGGAACAAUGAGAACAAAGCUCUCUUGAUGAUGUUUACACAUGUGAACCUCUAAAGAGUGAGAAGAAUCAUGAACAUUUGGAGUUCAAAGAGCCUAUUGUGCUCAAUAGUGGUAUUCCCAUCUGAGUGCAAGAGAUCACCAAGGUGACUCUGUGUCCACUAGCUGAUUACCUGCCAAGGCCUAGAAACUGCAGGCCAAACUCAGGUGGCCCCUGAAACUUUCUCCUUUACUACUGAGCCCAAACAGGUAGAGGCAUAACAGAAUGUUUAAAACAGUCACCGAAUGGCCCCUCUCUUAAAACGAGAGAUGAAUGUGCAGUCUUUUCGGCAGAAGAUUCAUGGUUAUUAAUAUUAUCAAACAUAUGAGUUCAUAUUGAGCCUGAACAAUUAGAUUUCUCUUAUCAAAAGUUCAGGUACAGGGAGAAAGAAGGAAGCUUCUGAAUUAGAGAUUUGCUUAUUGGAACUCAGGGUAUGAAAAGGGGAUAUUUUAAGAGGGCUUUGGAGUCAGGAUGACAAGAACUAUUACCUUCAUUCCCAGACAACCCUGGGUUCAAAUCCUACCUCUGAUACUUAAUGUGUAAAGAGUUUCUACCCUCUUUCAGUCUUAGAAUCCUCUUGUAUAAAAUGAGGAAGUUUAUAAAGUUCUUGUUAUGUUUUUUAAAAAAAUAAUGUAUGUAAGUUUGUACAUGAUAGGUUUGAAUAAAUGGUAUUUAUUAA